UACAGAGGGUGCGAGCGUUGUCCGGAAUCACUGGGCGUAAAGGGCGCGUAGGCGGCUUGAUAAGUAGGGGGUGAAAUCUUGCGGCUCAACUGCAAGGCUGCCUCCUAAACUGACAGGCUUGAGCACAGUAGAGGCAGGUGGAAUUCCCGGUGUAGCGGUGGAAUGCGUAGAGAUCGGGAAGAACAUCGGUGGCGAAGGCGGCCUGCUGGGCUGUUGCUGACGCUGAGGCGCGACAGCGUGGGGGAGCAAACAGG
rnacentral:rRNA from 1 species